rnacentral:rRNA from 1 species
CUCCGGUUGAUCCUGCCGGACCCGACUGCUAUCAGAGUGGGACUAAGCCAUGCGAGUCAACAUAGCAAUAUGUGGCAUACGGCUCAGUAACACGUAGUCAACAUGCCCAGGGGACGUGGAUAACCUCGGGAAACUGAGGAUAAACCGCGAUAGGUCAUCACUUCUGGAAUGGGUAAUGACUUAAAUCUAUAUGGCCCCUGGAUUGGACUGCGGCCGAUCAGGCUGUUGGUGAGGUAAUGGCCCACCAAACCUGUAACCGGUACGGGCUCUGAGAGGAGGAGCCCGGAGAUGGGCACUGAGACAAGGGCCCAGGCCCUAUGGGGCGCAGCAGGCGCGAAACCUCUGCAAUAGGCGAAAGCUUGACAGGGUUACUCUGAGUGAUUUCCGUUAAGGAGAUCUUUUGGCACCUCUAAAAAUGGUGCAGAAUAAGGGGUGGGCAAGUCUGGUGUCAGCCGCCGCGGUAAUACCAGCACCCCGAGUGGUCGGGACGUUUAUUGGGCCUAAAGCAUCCGUAGCCGGUUCUACAAGUCUUCCGUUAAAUCCACCUGCUUAACAGAUGGGCUGCGGAAGAUACUAUAGAGCUAGGAGGCGGGAGAGGCAAGCGGUACUCGAUGGGUAGGGGUAAAAUCCGUUGAUCCAUUGAAGACCACCAGUGGCGAAGGCGGCUUGCCAGAACGCGCUCGACGGUGAGGGAUGAAAGCUGGGGGAGCAAACCGGAUUAGAUACCCGGGUAGUCCCAGCUGUAAACGAUGCAGACUCGGUGAUGAGUUGGCUUAUUGCUAACUCAGUGCCGCAGGGAAGCCGUUAAGUUUGCCGCCUGGGGAGUACGGUCGCAAGACUGAAACUUAAAGGAAAUGGCGGGGGAGCA